UUGCAAACAAGUGCGGCCAUUUCACCAGCCCAGGCUGGCUUCUGCUGUUGACUGGCUGUGGCACCUCAAGCAGCCCCUUUCCCCUCUAGCCUCAGUUUAUCACCGCAAGAGCUACCAUUCAUCUAGCACAACCUGACCAUCCUCACACUGGUCAGUUCCAACCUUCCCAGGAAUCUUCUGUGGCCAUGUUCACUCCGGUUUUACAGGGUGCUCCUCCCAGCUCCUCUCAGCAGGGACCUUUGCCCAGGGAAUAGAAGCCUGACCUGUCUGGGCCUUAAUUUCCCAUCUGUGAAAUGGGAGAACUUUCAAAGAAGGAAUAUGGAGGCAGGUGUGAUAUUUAAAGCUGGACCCAGGCCCACCUUUCCCUGUGCUAGGAUUCCAGGACAGGUAAGGAGCCAAGGGUGGGGUGCCCAGCCCCAAAAGGAUAGCCCUGGAGCCUGCGCCAGGGGGUAAGAGGGGAGUCUUUGUGGCCUAAAGCAGCAUUUCCUCAAUGUCCCGUUUUUCUGCUACAUUUCCUGCCCUGGUUCAGAGGUACUUAGCCUCUUUACUUACUUGGAAGUGUGACUGCCACUCAGAUGCCCUGGUCAGCCCCUCCUAAGCAGUAAUAAUUAGAACUAGGGGACUUCCGAUGGGCUGCCAGGGAUGUUUUGCCCUUAUGCACUUAAAAUGAACCCGUAACUAUUAAAAUAAAUGUCGCUCCUCCCCACCCUGUCCCUCCUGCCCCAGCCCCUACUUUGAGAAACUCAGGUCAAGGCUAAAGUCCAAGGCCUGGUUCUUGUCAGUGCCUCAGUUUCCCCAUCUGUAAAGUGGGGCGAUCUUCCGCCGCUCAGGCCAGGUGGUGGUUAGGAUUAAACCCUGAAGUCGACCUGAGCAGCUUAGCAUGGCGCCUGGCCCAGAGCGGGCGCUCCACGCCCGCUGAUAUUAUUACCAAUCGUGAUUUCGGGAGAGGCGGAUCUGGGGC
rnacentral:lncRNA from 1 species